rnacentral:ncRNA from 2 species
GAAAUAUAAGUUUUCCGAGUCGUCGCUUCUAAGGUUAUCUAUGAAGCUAUGACCGAAUGGGCAAGUCCCAUAAGGGUUUAGGAAGAAAUUCCUGAGCCUCCCGUGUUAGGAAAGGAAAAUGUUUUGUUAAAUG